UCCGACAUUGGGAUAUCAGAAACACACCCC
rnacentral:piRNA from 1 species